rnacentral:rRNA from 1 species
AUUGAACGCUGGCGGCAUGCUUUACACAUGCAAGUCGAACGGUAACAGGGUGCUUGCACCGCUGACGAGUGGCGAACGGGUGAGUAAUGCGUCGGAACGUGCCGAGUAGUGGGGGGAUAACGCAGCGAAAGUUGUGCUAAUACCGCAUACGUACUGAGGUAGAAAGUGGGGGACCUUCGGGCCUCACGCUAUUCGAGCGGCCGACGUCUGAUUAGCUAGUAGGUGAGGUAAAGGCUCACCUAGGCGACGAUCAGUAGCGGGUCUGAGAGGAUGACCCGGCACACUGGGACUGCGACACGGCCCAGACUCCUACGGGAGGCAGCAGUGGGGAAGUUUGGACAAUGGGCGAAGGCCUGGUCCAGCCAUGCCGCGUGUCUGGAGCAGGCCUUCGGGUUGUAAAGGACUUUUGUCAGGGAGGAAAUCCCUAGUGCUAAUAACACUGGGGGAUGACAGUACCAGAAGAUUAACCACCGGCUAACUACGUGCCAGCAGCCGCCGUAA